UUCCAGUGAAUAGAAGAACUGUGAUUGGUUAUUGCGCUAGCUUAAAACCGCCUCCUGAAGCCUGAUUGGCAUCUUUAGGGUUGCCAUGAUUGGUUAUAGUAGGUGGAAUUCCCCGCCUUCCAUUGAUGCACCGAGGACUGCUGGCCAUUGGUCGUUGCUACACUGUACUCGUGACAGAGGGGGGCUGGUCCAAUUCAAAGAACAUUUUUUGAGAAAAAAGGAAAACUUCCAAAGUGGGUGUACGGUCGUUUUUUAGGCGAAGCUGUGUCUUCUGUUCGUGUUUGCUUAUUUUUUUUAAUCAAUUCGCGUAACUCGACAUGAAGAUUACUCCCUUUAGUUACUUGUUUUGUCGUUGCUUCUUUUAUGUAUUUUUUUUUUUUGCUUCUGCACGAGUUUCUUGAAGUGUGCACCUCCGCAGUGCAAGUCCGAUCCGGUGCUCGCCGAAAGGAGCCUAAGCUGCGCGGGGCCCUCAGUCGCCAGGCAAAAGGAAAGGGAAACCGGCCAAAGAGGGCGAAAAAGACAAAGAACAUGGCGAGAGUUAGCGGGCAGCGCGCCCUCUCGUUUGCGGUUUUCAAUCAUCUCUGCAAUCCGCUCAUCGCCUGACAAGUCAACUUUAGAGGGAAACGACGUUGCGCCCGCAGGCUGGAGAGGUCACACAAUGUUGUCUUGACCGGAUUUGCCUCAGUGGAAUAAAGAAGUGAUCUCCUACUUUUAAUGGUGAUUAUCUUCAGAAUCUUUGUUUGUAUGUGGUGAGGCUGCACAGAUAUUUGCCUGCUAAAUGGAGUCCAUUGUAGAAUUGAAACUCCACUGGAGAGCACCACUGGGCUGCUCAGUUACCAGAAGGAUAAAAUUGCAGAUGUGCGUCAAGCACUAGGCAGCAAAAAACUCCAGCAUUAUUCAGACAGAUCAUAUUCAGUGAAAUAUUAAAGUUCCUUGAAGAAUACCCUGCUAAGCUGAACAAUGCUGGAUUCACAUCGCGGCAUGUCAUGCUACAGAUAACCUCUUUGGGUGACCACUUAUUUAAAUGGAAAUGUGUUCUGGUGAAGUGAAACGAAGAGUUUGAAACUCUGAGCGGCAGGUGGUGUAAACAUCCUACACUCUCAGCUUUGGAAAGUGGAGAGGCUGGGAGCAGGGUGUUUGCGCUGUCUCCCUUGGAUAAGCAGCUCCCCUUAAAGUUUUUAGUAUUACUUUAUUUAUUGAACUAUACUAAAAAUAGCAUCUUCAGUGUGGCCAAAAAAUAAAACUAUAACAGAGAAUGCAAUAAACUAAGUGAAUGUUGCUGCCUUUAAGCCCAGUGCUAACAGUUUCAUUAUUUAUUGUAGUAAAUGAAGAAACAUAGUAUCAUCCUUAUCAAGUUAUCUUCCUUUACUUUUUUGUUUGCAUUAUCAAGCAUCUUUCUCUGAAACUACGUAGUAACCCGUAUUCUUUGGAGUUUUCAUUUCUUUUAGAACCGUUACAAAGCAAUUCAUAACAUGGUACUCGGUGUUUAAUGGAAGUAAAAAGUGCUUUGUUACUUAGCAGAUAUUUUUUUAUUGCUGUGAAGAAAAGGUGGGUUUUAAGCCAGAAUAGAAUAGAAUUUUUUAGGUAGUGGUCAGGGAAAUAAGGAAGUUGUGGGUUCAGUUUCACAUUGUUCUUUUACAACUGUCUUUAAAUCGUAAAUAUGUCAAAAUAAAAGAUUAUAAAAUCUGAAAUGUUUCAGAAAAAUAAAA